UAUUUAUAUAAUAUAACUAUUAUACUUAGCUUCCAACUAAGAAAUCUAAAAAUUUUAGUAUAAAU
rnacentral:tRNA from 1 species